rnacentral:lncRNA from 1 species
GGCUGCCAAAAGGCACAGCUCCUCCCCGCCUGCCUGCUCGCGUGGAUUUCUUUGGGCAGAGCUAUUUCCAGCCUGGUUAUGCCCCUGGUGAUGGAGAGCUUUCGUUUUAGAAUCUACCGAGGGCUGCCGUGAUGUCUCAGCACUGUUGCUGCUGUGUAGGUGCAGCCUGUGAUCGCUGGCAGGAGUGUGUAUUCUCUUCCUUCCAGUGAGUGUUGUACAAGAAUAUAAAUCUAAUGGAAUAAUAGGACCUGCUGGAGGCAAGUUCAUAAACUGCGGGAUGUGUAAUGGAUCACCUCCAGGCUCUGCCAUUAACUCACCACAUACCUUUGCAUCGAGCAGUUCACUGGUUCCUGGAUCUCCCAUGAUUGUAUGUGCAUUGAAGAGAGAAGACUUGCCUGAGCUGAUCUUAAGGUCGGAGCGAUGCCAGAGGAGGUGCUGCCCCAUGCUGUGUAAUACUUUCCAGUGUUUCGACAGCUCUUCCCUCCAGAGGAGGCCAAAGGCUGUGAAGCUGUACCCUAGAGGGGAUGCUCUCUUGCAGACAGCUCAUCCCUUGCACUGCGACUUUGGCUCUGCAAGAGCUCUCCUGCAGCAUUUCUAAAAAGAAGGGCAAACUCUUAGCCUACAAACAGGAGGGGAAUCAACUCUUUGAAAGGGUAGAUAACAGCAGGACAAGGGGAAAUGGUUGGAAGUUAAAGGAGGGAAGAUUGAGGUUGGAUGUCAGGGGGAAUUAAGUUCUUUAUUCAGAGUGGUGAGGUGCUGGAACAGCUGCCCAGAGAGGCUGUGGAUGCCCCGUCCAUCCCUGGAGGUGUUCAAGGCCAGGUUGGAUGGGGCCCUGGGCAGCCUGGGCUGCUAUGAAACGUGGAGGUUGGUGGCCCUGCCUGUGGUGGGGGGUUGGAGCUUCUCGAUCCUUGAGGUCCCUUCCAACCCAAGCCAUGCUGUGAUUCUGUGAUUCUAUGACUCUAUGAUUUGCCCUCGGUGAAGCCAUCCUGGUUUUCCCAUAUCACCUCCCUGCCUUCCAUGUGCCAUGGCAUCACUUCACAGGAGGCUCUGCUCCAUGAUCUUCCCAGCGCAGAAGUGAGACUGACAGGUUGGUAGUUCCUGGUUUUGUACCCUUCUUAAAAAUAGGUGUGGGAGGGAUGUUGCUCCUCCAAUUCCCUCCUGCCAAACCAAACAUUUG